UACGUAGGGGCUAGCGUUAUCCGGAAUUACUGGGCGUAAAGGGUGCGUAGGUGGUUUCUUAAGUCAGAGGUGAAAGGCUACGGCUCAACCGUAGUAAGCCUUUGAAACUGGGAAACUUGAGUGCAGGAGAGGAGAGUGGAAUUCCUAGUGUAGCGGUGAAAUGCGUAGAUAUUAGGAGGAACACCAGUUGCGAAGGCGGCUCUCUGGACUGUAACUGACACUGAGGCACGAAAGUGUGGGGAGCAAACAGGAUUAGAUACCCCUGUAGUCCCUGAG
rnacentral:rRNA from 1 species